rnacentral:misc_RNA from 1 species
UUUCCGUAGGUGAACCUGCGGAAGGAUCAUUAUUGAAUGAAACACUUCUGGCUUUAUGCUGUUGUGCUGGCCCUUUGGGCAAUGUGCACACGGCUCUGGUCACUUGUUUCUUCUGUUCCACCUGUGCACUGCCUGUAGACACGCUGUGUCUAUGAUAUUUGUUAACACACAACAAUGUUAGUUGGCAUGUUAUAUGUAAUAAUAAAAUAUACAACUCUCAACAACGGAUCUCUUGGCUCUC